GUCUACAGCCAUGCUACCCUGAACAAACCCAAUCCCGUCUGACCUUGGAAGCUAAUCAGGGUUGGGCCUGGUUAGUACUUGGAUGGGAGACCACCUAAGAAGACCAGAUGCAGUAGGUG
rnacentral:rRNA from 1 species